GAUGAACGCUGGCGGCGUGCUUAACACAUGCAAGUCGAACGGGAUCCAGGCAGCUUGCUGCCUGGUGAGAGUGGCGAACGGGUGAGUAAUGCGUGACCGACCUGCCCCAUACACCGGAAUAGCUCCUGGAAACGGGUGGUAAUGCCGGAUGCUCCGACUCCUCGCAUGGGGUGUCGGGAAAGAUUUCAUCGGUAUGGGAUGGGGUCGCGUCCUAUCAGGUAGUCGGCGGGGUAACGGCCCACCGAGCCUACGACGGGUAGCCGGCCUGAGAGGGCGACCGGCCACAUUGGGACUGAGAUACGGCCCAGACUCCUACGGGAGGCAGCAGUGGGGAAUAUUGCACAAUGGGCGCAAGCCUGAUGCAGCGACGCCGCGUGCGGGAUGACGGCCUUCGGGUUGUAAACCGCUUUUGAUCGGGAGCAAGCCUUCGGGUGAGUGUACCUUUCGAAUAAGCACCGGCUA
rnacentral:rRNA from 1 species